rnacentral:misc_RNA from 1 species
CGCACAUUGCGCCCCUCGGUAUUCCGGGGGGCAUGCCUGUUCGAGCGUCAUUGCACCCCUCAAGCGUCAGCUUGGUUAUGGGCGCUCGCCCCGCGAGGGGCGUGCCCGAAAACGAGUGGCGGUCCGGCGAGACUUCGGGCGUAGUAAAUUUUCUCCCGCUCUGGAAGCUCUCGCCUGGGUCGGCCAGCAACCCAUUGCAAUACCAAAGUUUGACCUCGGAUCAGGUAGGGAUACCCGCUGAACUUAA